AUCCGACUGACGAGUUUCAAAUAGGACGAAACACGCGUCUUCCAU
rnacentral:hammerhead_ribozyme from 1 species